GUGUGUGUGUGACAUGAUUCUCCAUGUGGAACCACUAUAGGCCCCAUCCUGUGUGCCAAGCUUGGUUUAUUAACCUUAGCCAUUGGCGGUCCCCAGUUAGCAAUGUAAUCCAUCCGAGAAAUGUACUGCUCCUCCAUUGUACAUCAGGAGACACUGCUAUUCAAGAGUUUCUUUGAGACACUUCCAACAGUACUGGAUUCCGUAGUAGGAGCUGACUAAAGUCAAGCCAAAGGCGUUCCUGAGCUUCUUUUGCAUGAAUCCUCUUCCCAAUCUCCGUUUAAAUGAUUUUUGCUUGAAAAGCAAUGUAGGUUCAUCUCAGCGAAGCAAACAAGAUACUUAGUCAAAAGAAAAGGGACAAAAUCCCAGCACAAUCUGAAUGUAAAAAUUGUGUAACAAGGGAAGGGGUAGAAGACGGGAGCACGUAAACAAGAGAUAGUAUUCAAACAGUGUAUCCUGAAAACUUUCUCAUUUAUCCAUUGUCCAUUAUAAUCAGGCAGGACGUAUACAGGCAUAAAACGGUGGUUCCUGGCACUGUGUGCCUUGUUUUGUAUUUACGAUCUAAAAACAAGGUUAACGAAAAGCAUGUGACAAGCUCAUAGAAAUUAGCACGUUCAGCGCAAUAAAUGUUUGUACUACUCUUCUGA